UACUUUCCACUGGGAUCCAGUCCACAGCAUAUUCACAGAAGCACUUGUCUUGCUGCAGCAGAGCGUGGUGGAGGUGGGAGGAAGAAGGUCUGCCUGGGAGCUGGCAACCCCACACCUCACACCACUGCUAGGUAAACAGUCCAUGGAUCCUCCGUGCAUCUUCCUCCCACUUCAAGUCUUACCUGUAUUUGGCAGCGGGAUGUAAGGAAGAAGCAGACAGACAGAUAAAGGAACAGCAUGUGCCAUGAAAGAUAGAAAGUUGACCUUAAAAUGGAAUUUAUUCCUGAAGAUUUCCUUCUCCUAAACAAGAUGUUUAAGAUGGAGUCCAAUAGCAGAGCAUUCAGACUUGAAAGACCAAGCAAAACACAUGAAGUCAUCAAGAGAUUGAAGUUUGUGGAAGAUGUCCCUCAUGUCAAGAUUUCCUUGCCAAUUUCUCUAGUACAUGGAGUAAUUCCCAAGACAUCCUGUCAGCCUUAGGUACAGCUUGGGAAGAUCCACUCAGUGAGAUUUAAUCCCAGCAAGAUUCAUGGCUGCUAGUGGCACAGCAGUGGGAAGUUACAGGUGCUAAGGACUUUGUGAGAUCCAACAAGUCAACAAGUCCCAGGAAAUGGCAAGGAGGAAGAAAAUCAGGUAAAGAAGAUAGAACCACAGGUAAAGAAUGCCAGGUAAUAAGUGAUGGAAAACUGAGGAGUAAAAAGUUUCAUAAACAUCCUGCAGUGGAAAAUGAACAUUUAAGACCACAGGGGCUACUUAAUGUGUUGGGACUGCCCAAAGCCUUGUUAUGCUGUUUAAAUUCACAGUGACCAAAAACACAGCUGAAUAUCAAGUAAUCCUUGUUCUCAUGGGAAACCCAGUGUGUUAUUUCAUUAAAUCACUCAGCCAUUUUUAACUGCUUGAAAGAUUUUCUGGUUUUCCAUGUCUAUCUGAUAAAACGUAUUUUUUCUCCUUAUCGCCCUUGCUCAUUCUCUUAGACCAACAGUAGUAACACUCUUGUUUUAAAACAUAUAGUACUGGAAGCACCUGAAAUAAUCAGAGUGAGAAACGUGAGAACACUAAAAACUGGGAGAAAAAAUGUAAUUUCACUCCAUGACAAUUUAUGGGAAAAGAAAAUCAUUGGGUGAUGUUAAACUUUAUUUCCCUGAAAAUCACAAGAUUUAUUGCAGAAAGAUGAAAGUUGUUCCAAAGAAUGGUCACUGUUACUGGAGAGCAACAUGUAACUGUCAUAUCGCAGAUCGCUGCAGAUCUCCUGCAUCUGGCCACUUCCAAGCCCCGUGCUGGGGCAAGGUGGAGGAAUCUACUGUACUCCUGAGAGCAGAAAGCUGGGUGGAUGUGCAGGACUUGAAGAUCUUUUGGUAGUUUUGCCUGUCUCUUGAAAGAAUAAAAGCCUUUUA